rnacentral:tRNA from 1 species
AGAAUGAAAUUUAUAGUAAGAGGAAAAUCCGUCGACUUUAAAAAUCGUGAGGGUUCAAGUCCCUCUAUCCCCAAAAAG